rnacentral:rRNA from 1 species
UACGGAGGGGCGAGCGUUAUUCGGAAUUAUUGGGCGUAAAGGGCGCGUAGGCGGCUUGUACAAGUCAAAGGUGAAAGUCCCUCGGCUCAACUGAGGAACUGCCUUUGAAACUGUACGGCUUGAGGCCGGGAGGGGUGAGCGGAAUUCCAAUGUAGCGGUGAAAUGCGUAGAUAUUGGGAGGAACACCAGUGGCUGAAGGCGCUACCUGGACCGGUUCUGACGCUGAGGCUGGCGAAAGCGUGGUAGCAACGAGG